AGUGAACGCUGGCGGUAGGCCUAACACAUGCAAGUCGAACGGCAGCACAGUAAGAGCUUGCUCUUACGGGUGGCGAGUGGCGGACGGGUGAGGAAUACAUCGGAAUCUACUUUUUCGUGGGGGAUAACGUAGGGAAACUUACGCUAAUACCGCAUACGACCUACGGGUGAGAGCAGGGGAUCUUCGGACCUUGCGCGAUUGAAUGAGCCGAUGUCGGAUUAGCUAGUUGGCGGGGUAAAGGCCCACCAAGGCGACGAUCCGUAGCUGGUCUGAGAGGAUGGUCGGCCCCAACGGGAAGUAGGAACGGGCCCGACCCCUCAGGGAGGGAACGGGGGGGAAAUUUUGGCAAAGGGGGGCAGCCCUGCUCCGCCCAUCCGGGGGGGGGAAGAAGGGCCUUGGGGUUUAAAACCCUUUUUUUUGGGAAAAAAAAGCGGGUGGUUAACACCCCGCUUUUUGGAGGUACCCAAAAAAAAAGCCACGGGCUAACUUGGG
rnacentral:rRNA from 1 species